rnacentral:lncRNA from 1 species
ACAACACAUCUCUUGGAGUUCUAGCUCACCUUUCUGGUGUUGUUCUUGUACUCAUCUGUUUAAUCUAGUUCUGCCACUUCUUCUUGAACUUCUUGUUAGAUUUCAAGUCUAUAUUUUGUGUCCGUGACACCCUGAUUAUUGGCACUAGAAUUAGCCACUGUUUCUAACAUCCAAGAUGACUAAAUAUUAAUAAUAUCUUUUUCAUUUAUAUUUUCACUAUAUAGUCGUGUUACAACAUGACAACGUCAUCUUAGAUGAUAGGAAUCGAC